rnacentral:rRNA from 1 species
AGUGAACGCUGGCGGUAGGCCUAACACAUGCAAGUCGAACGGCAGCACAGUAAGAGCUUGCUCUUACGGGUGGCGAGUGGCGGACGGGUGAGGAGUACAUCGGAAUCUACUUUUUCGUGGGGGAUAACGUAGGGAAACUUACGCUAAUACCGCAUACGACCUACGGGUGAAAGCAGGGGAUCUUCGGACCUUGCGCGAUUGAAUGAGCCGAUGUCGGAUUAGCUAGUUGGCGGGGUAAAGGCCCACCAAGGCGACGAUCCGUAGCUGGUCUGAGAGGAUGAUCAGCCACACUGGAACUGAGACACGGUCCAGACUACUACGGGAGGCAGCAGUGGGGAAUAUUGGACAAUGGGCGCAAGCCUGAUCCAGCCAUACCGCGUGGGUGAAGAAGGCUUUCGGGUUGUAAAGCCCUUUUGUUGGGAAAGAAAAGCGGCAGGUUAAUACCCCGCUGUUCUGACGGUACCCAAAGAAUAAGCACCGGCUAACUUCGUG